CCUACGGGGGGCUGCAGUGGGGAAUAUUGGACAAUGGGCGAAAGCCUGAUCCAGCCAUGCCGCGUGUGUGAAGAAGGCCUUCGGGGUGUAAAGCACUUUCAGUGGGGAAGAAAGCCUUGGGGCUAAUACCCUCGAGGAAGGACAUCACCCACAGAAGAAGCACCGGCUAACUCCGUGCCAGCAGCCGCGGUAAUACGGAGGGUGCGAGCGUUAAUCGGAAUUACUGGGCGUAAAGCGCGCGUAGGCGGUCUGAUAAGCCGGUUGUGAAAGCCCCGGGCUCAACCUGGGAACGGCAUCCGGAACUGUCAGGCUAGAGUGCAGGAGAGGAAGGUAGAAUUCCCGGUGUAGCGGUGAAAUGCGUAGAGAUCGGGAGGAAUACCAGUGGCGAAGGCGGCCUUCUGGACUGACACUGACGCUGAGGUGCGAAAGCGUGGGUAGCAAACAGGAUUAGAUACCCCUGUAGUC
rnacentral:rRNA from 1 species